GUCUAUGGGCCUACCACCCUGAACGCGCUGGAUCUUGUCUGAUCUCGGAAGCUAAGCAGGGUCGGGCCUGGUUAGUAUUUGCAUGGGAUUCCGCCUGGGAAUACGGGGUGCUGUAGGCU
rnacentral:rRNA from 1 species